rnacentral:sRNA from 1 species
CGCUGGGCUACACACGUGCUACAAUGGGUAGUACAGAGAGUCGCAAAGCCGUGAGGUGGAGCUAAUCUCAGAAAACUAUUCUUAGUUCGGAUUGUACUCUGCAACUCGAGUACAUGAAGUUGGAAUCGCUAGUAAUCGCGAAUCAGCAAUGUCGCGGUGAAUACGUUCUCGGGUCUUGUACACACCGCCCGUCACACCACGAGAGUUGGUUGCACCUGAAGUAGCAGGCCUAACCGUAAGGAGGGAUGCUCCGAGGGUGUGAUUAGCGAUUGGGGUGAAGUCGUAACAAGGUAUCCGUACGGGAACGUGCGGAUGGAUCACCUCCUUUCUAAGGAGAAUAAGUCUUUCUCUAUUCUAUUGGUAAUGUUCUUUACAUUACGCUGAACAUUGGAAACUAUAUAGUAGAACAAAUAAAAUUAACUCUAACAAUUUCUUAGAGUUAGCUGUCAAAAAAAUAGGUUAAAAUAAUUAAGGGCACACAAAGGAUGCCUUGGUAGUAAGAGCCGAUGAAGGACGUGGUAAGCUGCGAUAAGCCUAG